GUCACACUAGUCAGCUCUCAGGCAGGAGUGGGUGUGCUGUGUGUUGUGUAAGUGUGAAGACGUGUGUGCUGUGCUGCCUCGCGUGUACUGCUGUGUGUUGUUCUGUGUGGGUGUAGUGUGUGUGUGUGUGUGUGUGUGACUCUGGAAACACUGGCCAUGCGCUGGAGUACAGAAGACGUGGGUAGUGUUGUGUUGUGUUAGCUAAGGCGGGAACACAGUAGGAGUCAAGAAACAGCCUGUGGGAGUGUUUACUUCCGUGCAUCGACCAAGAGUUAAAAUCCCCGAACUUCCUGGAUGUUCACAGUAUUCCUUCAGUUCACGCUGCGGAAAAAUGCAACUUGAAGCCCACCACCUGAAGGCCGCUGAACGCCCUGACCAGAGCGGCAGUUGUGUGAAGUACUGCCGCCCCGCCGCCGCUGUCUGGGAGUGUGCUGCCUUUUGGGUCAAAGCAGGAGUAAGUGGACCUGCUGGUGGACUACAGGCUGAACACAAGCAUUGACAAGCAGUACAGGGCAUUUCAUGAUGGCUUCUGCAGGGUGUGGGAUGGUACUGUGCUCAAACCUUUCCAGCCAAUGGAACUUAAGGACUUGGUCACCGGCAAUGAAAAUUAUUUCUGGACUGAGUUGGAAAAGAAUGCUGAAUAUAAGAUUAAGUUAGUUAAGGGUGAGUACUUCCCAGACCAUCCAGUCACUCGCACAUGUUGGGAAGUCUUUCGCAAGCUUUCGCUGGAGCGAGAACAGAAAAUGUUUUCAAGUUUCUGACGGGGACUCACCAGGUUCUUCUACUAGGCAUGAGAGAGAGAGAGAGAGAGAGAGAGAGAGAGAGAGAGAGAGAGAGAGAGAGAGAGAGAGAGAGAGAGAGAGAGAGAGAGAGAGAGAGAGAGAGAGAGAGAGAGAGA